GUUAUGUCCUUUUCAUUGUUUCCCUGCUAGCACCUCUGACACCUUCAUUGACUUGAGUCAGGGUGACCAGAAGCUCUGCCUGACCUCUGCCUUUAGGCUGCUGGCACUGAAACAGGUUGCACAGUG
rnacentral:snoRNA from 1 species